rnacentral:lncRNA from 1 species
GGCGAAGAUUUCACAUAAAUAGUUGUGCCGAGUUGUUAUGGCAACUGAAAUUUGAAAAGUAAAUAGGUUUAGGGGAAAUAUUUUCCCUUGUCUCUGGAGGAGUUUUCUGUUGCGGAUCAUUUGCAAAAGGAGGAGUUACUUCGAUGCCCAGUGGAUUUGGUGUAUGUUGUUGAAGGACAGACGUGUGGGGUUCCUGUGCUGGGGGCGGUCUCCGUGCCCAUGGGGCAGCUGCUUUCCUUUCAUCAAGUAGGGGUUGAGAUGGGUGGCAGGGUCACGCACGCUGUGUGGCCGUGCACCGAUGACUUGCCCUCUCUGGGCGUCCACUUUUCUCUCUAUAGAAUAGUUUGGUGGAAACGCACAGUCAUACAGAGAAGAGCUGUACAUGCCCCAUGGCAUAUAAGCCUCAUGGCAGCAGAGACCAGGUUGGCGCUGGGUACAUUGACUCCAUUCGUGGUUGCUGACCGAGGCGCAGAGCAGUAAAAGGUCUGGAAGCCUCCAAAGAUAAUCCUCCCGUAGGUGGGUUCCAGGCUACCUUGAGAGACCACCUGAACCCCCACCCCCACAAAUAAUAAGGGCAGCAUCGCCUAUGAGUCACCUACACUGAAUGUGUUUGUUCCCUCUUACUGAUGGAACUUGCAAUUUUUGGCUGGGU